GUGGCGAUUUGGAUCAUUACAGCGGUUCCAACCCGUCGUUAUCUCCCAUAUAUAUAAAAGCCCAAUUCGGCAAUUCUAUCCCUAAUUUCGGAAACACUAGGUCGUUGCUGAAGACGCGUGCGUACACUACUGCUUCCAUUGUGUGGCGAUCUCUGAUCCUAUGCGUUCCCUGACGAUCUCCUCCGGUGGCAUCUCCUCCUCUGGCGACGAUCUCCUCCGGUCGGUCUCCUCUAGCUUCUUGCUGUCCUCCUUCUCUGCCAAAAUUCUCAGUGCCUCCCUUUCAUUCUCCCUUUCCUUCCAUUGAUGGACAAUGUUUGAUGAUGGAAACCUAGUGCAGGAGAAUAGCUUCAUAUAUUUCAAAUUUCUACAUUAAUUAUUACUCUUUCUUUGCUAUAUCAUGUAAUUUAAGCGCUGGUGGAGUGGAGGAUUUGGAUAUGAACUGUGAAUUGGGAUCUUAGAUCAGAAGCAACUUAUUUACCUGCAGAAGCUCAAUACUAGCUGGUGAAAUCCAACUUGAUGCUAACUGCAGUAUUGAUUUGAACCUAGAUUUCAAUAGGGUUCUUCCUAGUAGAAAUCUCCAACCUGUAGUAUAUAGGCUAUACUUGGAACUCCUCAAAUGACAUGCUUUUGAACUUAAAUCUCAGAUAAAAAGGUCUCAUUAUCAAAACAUAAAGAUUUUUGUUCCAGUGACUGUGGUGGCACUCCUGAUUUUGAUUCCAGCAAAUGUGUCAAGUGGGACAUUGUUUUUCUUACAAAAAGAAUUGGUAGUGAGCGACAUUGAUAAACUCUCAAUAUCGAAUGUUUCUCCUAAAUCCACAAGAUGAAUAUGAAGAUAGUACACGCCUUUAUUUAUUAGUGAAGGAUGUGCAUAAAUUACCAGAAGUUUUGCGCAUAGUUGUCAAUUUUGAUAGACAGCGUGCAGCAAUAGGAGAAGCAGCCGGACUCCUUGCAGGAGUUUGUGGACAAUUGGCCACUGAUUGUGUAGCAUUUUCAAUCAGUUUUGAUAAGUGAUCAGACAUUCCAGAGAGCUUUUCUGAAAAUCAAUUUAAUAUUUUUUCCAAGUUCGAUUUUGCUUCAAAGUGUGUGAUAGCUUGGCCAAACAAUUUCUGCUCCAAUCGCUUGGCGAAAAAUGGAGGGAACAUAGGAUAAAGCUUUGGAAUGAGUUUUAUGAUCUAAGAUUGAGUAAAACUGAGAUCAUAAAUAGUACACCAGAAGAUAUUGCUCUUGAUCAAUAGGCUUUAUUCGUAGAAUAUCGUUUGAAACUUGAAACUCAAAAUCUUUGUAAGAGGAAUCAAGAAAUUUGGCAAAAAUAAAUAAUUUCUCAUACUUCAGGUGCUAAAUCAAUUGCAAGAAGAAGGGCUGAAUUGACAGAAGAGACGGAAAAAGAAGUUAGUAGGGUUCAAAUAUGGGACAUCACUCACAAAAAAAUAGAUGAAAGUUAUAUUAAUGAAAAGGCUAAAAAAAUAGCGGAAAAGAUUGAAGCAAAUAAUAGUCAACAAGCGGUAGAAUCAACCGUUAAUUCUCCUCUUGAUGCUCUUGGAGUAGUUCUUGGGAAUUAAAGAGCACCCUGGUCGUGUUCGUGGUUUAGACAUGGGAGCUGUUCCAACAGUUGCUUUCAAGAACAACAUUACAAGGAUUAAUCAGAUGAAUUUAGGUCCUUCAAAUGAUGCUGGCACAUCAUCUACUUGUGGUCUAAAUGUGCAAGAAGAGUUGGACACCGUUAAAUCGCAAUUGUAAGCGCUAGUCUCCUAUAUUGCUUCUAAGAAAGGAGGUAAAAUUUCAGUGAAAUUGGCUGGAAUGUUCCCUACUCAACAAAUUUCACAUGUACAAAUACAAUUUAUGUUCUUAAUACCUUAUUCCAUGUGUAAUAUUUUGACUCUUAAGAAGGAAAUGCUUAUAUUUGUUAGAUUUUCAACAAUGUAAAAGAAUAAUAGUCUAACAUAUAGAAUUAUUAUACAAGGGAGCAUGAGAUUUUGCAGAUUUUUUAGGCUUUUUUUAAUUUUAAUUGUGUUUUGGUCUGCUGUGUUGAAUUUCUGUUAAAUCCAUUUUGUUACGGUUGAAGGUAUUGAGGGGACAUAGAAAAUUAUAUACUAGUGUUGUAAGUUGUAAGUUGCAACCAUAUCCUUGCAUUGGAAUAUUGAUAAAGAAAAUUGGCUCAGCAUUUUGGUGGAUAUUAUUGCCAGGCCAUAAGAGUGUCA